rnacentral:rRNA from 1 species
AUUGAACGCUGGCGGCAUGCCUUACACAUGCAAGUCGAACGGUAACGCGGGGCAACCUGGCGACGAGUGGCGAACGGGUGAGUAAUGUAUCGGAACGUGCCCAGUAGUGGGGGAUAGCCCGGCGAAAGCCGGAUUAAUACCGCAUACGACCUGAGGGUGAAAGCGGGGGAUCGCAAGACCUCGCGCUAUUGGAGCGGCCGAUAUCAGAUUAGCUAAUUGGUGGGGUAAAGGCCUACCAAGGCGACGAUCUGUAGCUGGUCUGAGAGGACGACCAGCCACACUGGGACUGAGACACGGCCCAGACUCCUACGGGAGGCAGCAGUGGGGAAUUUUGGACAAUGGGCGAAAGCCUGAUCCAGCCAUGCCGCGUGCGGGAAGAAGGCCUUCGGGUUGUAAACCGCUUUUGUCAGGGAAGAAAAGGCUCGAACUAAUACUUUGGGCUCAUGAUGGUACCUGAAGAAUAAGCACCGGCUAACUACGUGCCAGCAGCCGCGGUAAGAC